rnacentral:lncRNA from 1 species
CAAGCCUCAAGCCAUCCUCCCUCCUCGGCUUCCCAGAGUGUUGGGAUUACAGGCAUGAGCCACCACGCCCAGCCUAGGAGGGAUUGUCAUUUCAGCUAUUCAGUCCCUGCCGCCCACUCUGCACCAGGCCCAAGGAGGAGCUGGGGACAGAGGUGAAUAUGGCACACUCUCUGUUCCCAAGGAGCCAAGUCAGCCAGGGGAGACGGAAAAGGACAGCCUUGUGUGACCAGUGCUGGGACCCCAGCCACGCACAGGGGCUGCAGAAAUCCAUAGGAGAGCAUUUUCUCCCGACCUGGAGGAGGUGACACCCUGAUUCUCGCCUGAUUCUCUUUAACCACAGCUAAUGCUUUGAGAUGGAUUACAUCCCACUUUGCAGAAGAGGAAACAGAUGCGGAGAGAUCCCAGGAGGUGCUGGCCAAGGGGAGGAGAAAGGAGAGAGCUGAUGCUGGCCCCUGAACCUGCCUGGUAACACCAUCAUUCACUCAACUGAGGCACCGACUGCUCCAGGAGCAAUGGCUCCAGAUCCGCUAAUUCAGUGUUUGCAGAGACUUUACCACAAAUAAGAAUCCACUAUGUGUAAUGCGUGUCAUCUACCAUUCCUAUUACGAAGAUUCUACAAACAUUCAUCCAUCACCCGCUAUGGACCAAGCACUAGGUUGAACCAAGUGAUACACGGAUGCUGGUGCCAAAAAGGUCUUUGUGCGCAAGGUCUGGGUUUUCGCCACUCUGAGUCCCCAGGGCCAGGUUCCUGUUGCAGCCUGGAGCCGGAAAAGAAUCUGGGAGGAAGAGGUUGGGUGUUGGGGCCAGCAGACUAGGGGACGACAGAUCCUGCCCUGCCACUCAUUUGCUGUGCAACUCUCAGCAAAGCACCCAACCUCUCCGAGCCCUCGCUUCCCCAUCUGUGAAGUGGGGAUCAUAAGGCCCAUCCUGCAAGGUGGUUUCCGCGGUGAAAAUAGAAAACGAGGCCUGUUCCUACAGCCUGUGUGUCUUGGGAGGAACUGCUCAUCAUCUGUGAUCCUUUUUUACCUGAUUACGGGAAAGGGGAGUGAUCUGCUCACUGACCCCCGGCUGGGCUUUUCCCUGCCAGUGAAAUCAUUUGAAAUUGUCCAAGGAAAUCAGGAACCUGAGCCGACGCAGAGUCACCGAGCUUGGUGCCAAGCACUGGGGGAGCUCCAGUUACAGAAAACAAGUGGAAUCCACAGGCCCCGGGCUGAACGUGGAACUAAUUUGGGAGGCAAUGAGAAAGAGCGGAACAUAACGCGGAGCCCGGGAGGCAGGUCUGCCCUGAGUCAGGACGCCAUCCGGGGGGGUAUCUGGGGCCCCUUGAAAUUUUCAAGGUCCUGCUUCUGAAGUGGGGAGAGCCGGGACAUGAUGGGGACCCACUUCGGAAUCUCAGGAUGGCUGUGCAGAGACUCAGGGCACGGGCCUGGGGUCGGAGCAACUGCAAUCACAUCCUGACUUGCCCCCUCGAUGCUGUGUGACCCGGGGCCUGUCGCUUCACCUCUCUGAGCCUCAGCUGCCGCAUCUGUGAAUGUACGAUCUAGGGAUCCCUCCCUCAGAGGGCUGCUUCAUAGAAGGCUCAGUACCAUGCCAGCAGAUACUUAAGAACAUGCAACCUGUGCCAGACUGAGGAACACAGGAGGGAACAAGACAGACCUAGCCCCACGCAAAAGGAAACAAAUAGUGUGUACCUAAUUGCAAUCAUCGUUUGAAGGAUAAGAACAGGGUGCUUGGAUAAAAAAAUAACUGGGGCGGGCUAGGCAUGGUGGCUCACGCCUGUAAUCCCAGGACUUUGGGAGGCCGAGGUGGGCGGAUCACCUGAGGUCAGGAGCUCGAGACCAGCCUGGCCAACAUAGAAAAACCCCAUCUCUACUAAAAGAUACAAAAAUUAGCCAGGCAUGGUGGUGGGCACCUGUAGUCCCAGCUACUGGGGAGGCCAAGGUGGGAGGAUCGCUUGAACCUGGGAGGUGGAGGUUGCAGUGAGCUGAGACCGUGCCACUGCACUCCAGCCUGGGCAACAGAGUGAGACUCCGUCUCAAAAAAAAAAAAGAAAAGAAAAAGUAAAAGUAAAGAGACAAUGCACCCAAAAUUUGGAUAGAUGGAAGGAUAGAGGGAUGGAUAUGUGAUCACUCAAAUUUAGUAAAAUGUUAGUGAGUUGAUGUUGCUGUUUCAAAAUUUUCAUAAUAAAAUGUUGGGGGAAAGUAACAAAACCAAGAAGAAAAAGAGGUAGAAACAAAUUCUUUAACAGCUCUCUUUUCCUACGGAACACUGUCCAGGUGCUUAGCCGGGCAGCCAACACACAAAUCCUUGCCUCACGCCCCAAACUCACUCUAAGUGUGUAGCCCUGGGCACACCCUCAAACCUCUCCGAGGCUGCAGUCCUGGUCUCGUAGGAAGUGAGAGGCCAUCCUCCGGGAGAGGCAAGGCUGAGAUGCACACAGUUGUUUUCAGAGCAGCAAGGCCACUUCGGCAACACCCAGAGCUUAGGGAGGACGUGGUCAACCAGCCUUUACUGGGGCCUGGGAGACUCCCCACUGACACAAACUCCCUUCUGGUUUGCACUGGGGACGUUCAGUCCCUUGGGUUAUGCAUUCACUGGUCCAAUAGAUAUUUUCUGUGUGCCAGGCCCUGCACGGGGCACUGUAGUGUGAAGUCUGUCAGGUUCUUCCCUUUAAAGAACACCCCCAAGACACAGACAGAUCCAAUCCAGUGAGACACACACUCCGAGGGAGCCAACUCCAGCCUGGAUAGACGCCAAGCCCCACAGCCAGGCUUCAGACUGACUCCCGCCUCAGUCCGGAACCUCAGCACAGGAAGGACCCUCGUGUCAGGAUAUCCAGGCCCCGCCCCAGCCCAAUGGCCCCUGCCC